rnacentral:rRNA from 1 species
GGUGCGGNAUCUGCUGACAGGUGUUUAUGUCGAAAGAGAACCUGGCGCCAGGUGCUUACAUGGCUGUCGUCAGCAUCGUGUCGUGAGAUGUUGGGUUAAGUCCCGCAACUGAGUGCAACCCUUGUCCUUAGUUGCUACGCAAGAGCACUCUAAGGAGACUGCCGGUGACAAACCUGGAGGAAGGUGGGGACUGACGUCAAGUCCUCAUGGCCCUUAUGGGUAGGGCUUCACACGGUCAGUACAAGUGGUCGGAACAGAGGGUUGCCAACCCGCGAGGGGGAGCUAAUCCCAGGAGUUUCGAUCGUAGUCCGGAGUUGCACUCUGCAACUCGAGUGCAUGAAGCUGGAAUCGCUAGUAAUCGCGNAUCAGAUGCCGGGUGAAUACGUCCCGG